GCCAACUUUCUACUCUGCAUGUUUAUUCUAAAUGCUCUAGAGAUCUCUGUCUGACUCAGAGACCAGUAGAGGUGCUCUAGAGAUCUCUGUCUGACUCAGAGACCAGUAGAGGUGCUCUAGAGAACUCUGUCUGACACAGAGACCAGUAGAGGUGCUCUAGAGAACUCUGUCUGUCUGACUCAGAGACCAGUAGAGGUGCUCUAGAGAACUCUGUCUGACUCAGAGACCAGUAGAGGUGCUCUAGAGAACUCUGUCUGACUCAGAGACCAGUAGAGGUGCUCUAGAGAACUCUGUCUGACUCAGAGACCAGUAGAGGUGCUCUAGAGAACUCUGUCUGUCUGACACAGAGACCAGUAGAGGUGUAAUAUGGGGCAAAACGGAGUUGGCUAAGAAAUUUUGUCAACAACAAAACUAUAUUUUGUCUCCAAAUGUUUCUUGAAAACGUACAUUU